AUUUUGCUGUCUCCAGGUGCUAGCAGCCUGCCGAGAACUGGAGACUUCUUUUCUGUGUUCAUGGAGGAUGAAGAAGGGUCCAUCAGAGUAAGGAGCUGAUUCCACACUGCAAGCUCCCAAUUCCAAAUCCCACAUCCAGUCUCUAGGACUUGGCAUUGGCUCAUAUUUGGAGAUGGUGUUGUGAGAUGUUAAGUGAAACUUAAACAGAAGAGAUGCUCUGAUCAUGUGUGAAUGUGCCUUAUCAAGGAAAUGAACAGAAAAACAGACACAUAAAAAAACAGCAGCAUGUUGCUGGGGGAACUCACUUUCACUGUGUUCCACGAAGAGGGGAAGAGCACAACAAGGUGGUAAGCAGAGAGAUCAGAAAGGCUCUGACCUGCGUGAGCCCUGCUUGUAGCCUAACCUUGUGAUCUGGGGAAGAAAUCUUAUGAUCUAGACCUGUCUCUUUUUGUUUAUACCAUGAAGAAUAUUAAGCUUAUAUCCUUUAAUUGUUAACACCAAUUAAAAUAAGUAUGGCCAAAUUCUAUACACUGACCUGUCCAGUAUUACUGAUAUUAGUUCUAUAAGCUCACAUUUUCCUUCAUUAUUUCAAAUGCUUUUCAAAAGAUGAAACUGAAGCAAAGGGAAGUUAGCUGCCAGAUUGACAUGGGCAAGGUAUUUCCAGGUACCACUACUCUUAUCCCUAGGACUUGAUAUCUGAUGCAGCAGUGUGGUUUUGGCACCCUGUAUCCUUCUUUAUAGCAUGUAUUUUUAGGUAGAUGUAUUGCUGGAUGGAUAGAAGGAUGAAUGAAUUGAAGAUCAGGUAGAAGCAAUGACUGUUGAAUAAAUGAGUGGAUAAAGGGAUAGAUAAUAAUGGAUGGAUGGAUACUGAAGAAUAGAUUGAGAGAUGAAUGGGUAGUGAAGGGUCCCUAGGUAGCAAAAGAGUUAUAUAUGCAUG
ensembl:antisense Gm16346 predicted gene 16346